CCUAGCUAGCUGCGGAUGAGUUCUCUGCUGUGCUGUGAUUAUCAAUAUCAUCAGGAUCAUACGAGUUCGAUAGUAAGAGGUUUGUCAUGCUGCACACUCCCCAAAUGUUUGAUACACUGUGAAGAUACAUUGACACUCUGUCACCUGAGGCGAGAGGGCUGUUUUCUGAUGAAGAUUUUGCUUCUGUGAAGAAUGGAUGAAUCUGUUGUCGGAACUGGAAUUCACUUUUCAACGGGUGACGAUAGUUAAGGACUGUUCAACGGAUUGAUAUGCAUCAACCAGUAGCUAGUUCCUCAAUUGGCCCCUGUGUUGCAG